GAUUUUUAUUAUUUUUAUUAUUAUUAUUAUUAUUAUUAUUAUUAUUAUUAUUAUUAUUAUUAUUAUUAAGUUAUUUUUCAUCAUUGUAACAAAUUUGUGCACUGAGGCUUUGAGCAGUUACAUUAUUGACUAUUUCUUACCUUAGUUUCCCUUUAAAAUCAACAACGUAACAAAUUUGCGCACUGAGGCAAGGCGCACCCAUAUAGAAGACCACUUUCUACACUAAUAACCCUUGAAAACCUCUUUUAAAAAUCCUAUUCCUCUAACAUAACAAAAGUGCGCGCUGAGGCUGGGCGCAUUUGAAUUUUAAACCAUUUCUUAUUAAUAUAUUUCUUAAAACCUGACUUUUCAACAGUGUAACAAAAAUGCGCACUGAGGCUAGGCGCACCCACAUAGGAGGUGACUUUCUACCCUAAUAUCCCUUUGAAAACCUCUUAUAAUACUCCUAUUCCUCCAAUGUUACAAGUUUGCGCACUGAGGCUCGGCGCACCCCUUCCAAUACGCCUAUUCCUCUGAUGUUACAAAACUGCGCACUGAGGCUAGGCGCACCCACAUAGGAGGUGAC